CAUGAACAAGACUCCCUGCCUGUCUCCAGCUUCCUUCCCUUCAUAAAUCCUUAUAUGAGCAUGAGAAGCAACUGAGGUUGGAAUUUGUUGCUCUGCUUCCAAAAAGGAUUCAGAAAUAGCAGCAAAAAAUGCCAAAAAUACCCAAGAAGAACAUGAAAACAACCAAUAAAAGCAACUCAUAGAUGGCUAAGCAAAUCUAAAGCUGCGAGCAUGAUAGCUGGAUGGAUGGUUGAACUGCCAAGUGCCUCCAUUUGUUGAAAGACCCCGAUGCUGCGACUGCGCCUGGAUCCAGCCGAGCAACUGCAGUUCAGCUGUGGCUUCAAACAGCAUCUUUAAUGCAUCUUUUCUGACAUCUUGCUGUCGGCAGACUGCUUCAGAACAUGACAGCUUUAUACCAACUCAUCCACAGAUACACAUGGAGAAUCUCAAAUAAGAAUCCACAUAUCUAAUAAUCUGCAAACUGGCUGUUUUCCCCAUAAAUCAGCGAUUAAAAGGUCAGUACUUAACCAAUGUCUGACAAAUAAAUGUAAUAAAUGUUA